rnacentral:lncRNA from 1 species
GGGGGAGGGGGGGAGAUGCAGUCUCCCAACUCAGCAAAUACUGAAGAAAACUAUGCCUGUGAGGACCUGCUGGGCUUUACUGAGUUGUGCUGGAACUGGAGAAAACAGAGUUCAGUUCUUUCUUCUACUAUUGCUGGCUUGGAUGACCUGGGGUAAGUCCUGUAAUGUCCAAGACUGAGAAAAGACUGUUUUGGUACCUUACUAUUGCAAUAGACCCUGGCAGCUGAGCUUAGGCCUCUAAAAACCAUUUAUAACUUGUAUGGAGAAUGAUCUCCCUCAGAACAGAUCCACAAUACCAAUUCCACUCUUUUUGUGCUUAGCACAAAGUGGCUUAGCAAGUAGGGGGUUUACUCCAAGAUUAGAGAUUUG